GACGAACGCUGGCGGCGUGCUUAACACAUUCAAGUCGAACGGAAAGGCCCUGCUUGCAGGGUACUCGAGUGGCGAACGGGUGAGUAACACGUGGGUGAUCUGCCCUGCACUUCGGGAUAAGCCUGGGAAACUGGGUCUAAUACCGGAUAGGAGCCAUUUUUAGUGUGAUGGUUGGAAAGUUUUUUCGGUGUAGGAUGAGCUCGCGGCCUAUCAGCUUGUUGGUGGGGUAAUGGCCUACCAAGGCGGCGACGGGUAGCCGGCCUGAGAGGGUGGACGGCCACAUUGGGACUGAGAUACGGCCCAGACUCCUACGGGAGGCAGCAGUGGGGAAUAUUGCACAAUGGGCGCAAGCCUGAUGCAGCGACGCCGCGUGGGGGAUGACGGCCUUCGGGUUGUAAACUCCUUUCGCUAGGGACGAAGCCUUUUGUGACGGUACCUAGAUAAGAAGCACCGGCUAACUACGUG
rnacentral:rRNA from 1 species